rnacentral:rRNA from 1 species
UACAGAGGGUGCAAGCGUUAAUCGGAAUUACUGGGCGUAAAGCGUGCGCAGGCGGUUGUGCAAGACAGAUGUGAAAUCCCCGGGCUUAACCUGGGAACUGCAUUUGUGACUGCACGGCUAGAGUGCGGCAGAGGGGGAUGGAAUUCCGCGUGUAGCAGUGAAAUGCGUAGAUAUGCGGAGGAACACCGAUGGCGAAGGCAAUCCCCUGGGCCUGCACUGACGCUCAUGCACGAAAGCGUGGGGAGCAAACAGG